rnacentral:rRNA from 1 species
UCUACCUACGGGGGGCAGCAGUGGGGAAUAUUGCACAAUGGGGGAAACCCUGAUGCAGCGACGCCGCGUGAGUGAAGAAGUAUUUCGGUAUGUAAAGCUCUAUCAGCAGGGAAGAAAAAAAGUCUUUGGCUUUGGACGGUACCUGACUAAGAAGCCCCGGCUAACUACGUGCCAGCAGCCGCGGUAAUACGUAGGGGGCAAGCGUUAUCCGGAUUUACUGGGUGUAAAGGGAGCGCAGACGGCAGUGCAAGUCUGGAGUGAAAGCCCGGGGCCCAACCCCGGAACUGCUCUGGGAAACUGUGCGG